UCAAGCGACUAAGUGUAUGUGGUGGAUGCCUUGGCGAUUACAGGCGAAGAAGGACGUCGCAGCCUGCGAAAAGCCGUGGGGAGCUGGCAAGCGAGCACUGAUCCACGGAUGUCCGAAUGAGGGAACUCACCCGCAAGGGUAUCUUGAAGUGAAUACAUAGCUUCAAGAGGCGAACGCAGCGAACUGAAACAUCUAAGUAGCUGCAGGAAAAGAAAUCAACCGAGAUUCUGAAAGUAGCGGCGAGCGAAAUUGGAAGAGCCUGCAAGUGAUAUUGAAUUCGAUACUGGAACGGUCUGGAAAGUCCGGCUACAGAGGGUGACAGCCCCGUACGGGAAAUUGGGUUCAAGGUACUGAGCUUGCGAGAAGUAGAGCGGGACACGUGAAAUCCUGCUCGAAGAUGGGGGGACCAUCCUCCAAGGCUAAAUACUCGUGAUCGACCGAUAGCGUACCAGUACUGUGAAGGAAAGGUUAAAAGAACCCCGGGAGGGGAGUGAAAUAGAUCCUGAAACCGCAUACAUACAAACAGUAGGAGCCUCGUUAAGGGGUGACUGCGUACCUUUUGCAUAAUGGGUCAGCGACUUACGUUUAAUGGCGAGCUUAACCGUAUAGGGGAGGCGCAGCGAAAGCGAGUUCGAACAGAGCGUUCAGUCGUUAGGCGUAGACCCGAAACCAGAUGAUCUAUCCAUGGCCAGGUUGAAGGUGUGGUAACACACACUGGAGGACCGAACCGACUAGUGUUGCAAAAUUAGCGGAUGAGCUGUGGAUAGGGGUGAAAGGCUAAACAAAUCUGGAGAUAGCUGGUUCUCCCCGAAAACUAUUGAGGUAGUGCCUCGUGUAUGACUCCAGGGGGUAGAGCACUGUUAUGGCUAGGGGGACAUGGCGUCUUACCAAACCAUGGCAAACUCCGAAUACUUGGAAGUUUGAGCACGGGAGACAGAGCACCGGGUGCUAACGUCCGGACUCAAGAGGGAAACAACCCAGACCGCCGGCUAAGGUCCCUAAUAUUGACUAAGUGGAAAACGAAGUGGAAAGGCUAAGACAGUCAGGAAGUUGGCUUAGAAGCAGCCAUCCUUCAAAGAAAGCGUAAUAGCUCACUGAUCGAGUCUUUCUGCGCGGAAGAUGUAACGGGGCUAAGUCAAUAACCGAAGCCGCGGAUUCACACUUAUGUGUGAGUGGUAGGGGAGCGUUCUGUAAGCCUGCGAAGGUGACUCGUAAGGGUUGCUGGAGGUAUCAGAAGUGCGAAUGCUGACAUGAGUAACGUUAAAGCGGGUGAAAAGCCCGCUCGCCGUAAGCCCAAGGUUUCCUGCUCUACGUUCAUCGGAGCAGGGUGAGUCGGCCCCUAAGGUGAGGCUGAGAAGCGUAACUGAUGGGAACAAGGUUAAUAUUCCUUGACCACCGCUGAAUGCGAAGGGGGGACGGAGUAUUGAAGAUCAUCCGGGUGUUGGAUAUCCCGGUUUGCGAGCGUAGGAGGCUGACAGGCAAAUCCGUCAGCGAAUCUCCGAGGCAAAGCAUCGAGCUCUCUUUUGAGCGAAGUGAUUGGAUGUGCUUCCAGGAAAAGCCUCUAAGCUCCAGUUCAGCGGGACCGUACCGCAAACCGACACUGGUGGGCGAGCUGAAUAUGCUCAGGCGCUUGAGAGAACUCAGGAGAAGGAACUCGGCAAAUUGACACCGUAACUUCGGGAUAAGGUGUGCCUUUGUAGCGUGGAGGGAGAAACACCCCGAGCGCGAAGAGGUCUCAGAUAAUCGGUGGCUGCGACUGUUUAUUAAAAACACAGCACUCUGCAAAGACGAAAGUCGACGUAUAGGGUGUGAUGCCUGCCCGGUGCUGGAAGAUUAAUUGAUGGGGUGCAAGCUCCUGAUCGAAGUCCCAGUAAACGGCGGCCGUAACUAUAACGGUCCUAAGGUAGCGAAAUUCCUUGUC
rnacentral:rRNA from 1 species